UACAGAGGGCUCGAGCGUUAUGCGGAAUCAUUGGGCUUAAAGCGUGUGUAGGCGGACUUCUAAGUGCCUUGUGAAAUCCCACGGCUCACCCGUGGAACUGCUGGGCAUACUGGGAGUCUUGAGCCACCUAGGGGCGAGCGGAACAAAUGGUGGAGCGGUGAAAUGCGUAGAUAUCAGUUGGAACGCCAACGGAGAAAUCAGCUCGCUGGGGGUGUGCUGACGCUGAGACACGAAAGCCAGGGGAGCGAACGGG
rnacentral:rRNA from 1 species